GACGAACGCUGGCGGCGUGCUUAACACAUGCAAGUCGAACGGAAAGGCCCGGCUUUUGUUGGGUUCUCGAGUGGCGAACGGGUGAGUAACACGUGAGUAACCUGCCCUUGACUUUGUGAUAACUUCAGGAAACUGGGGCUAAUACCGGAGAGGAGCUCCUGCUGCAUGGUGGUGGUUGGAAAUUUUCGGCGGUUGGGGAUGGACUCGCGGCUUAUCAGCUUGUUGGUGGGGUAGUGGCUUACCAAGGCUUUGACGGGUAGCCGGCCUGAGAGGCUGACCGGCCACAUUGGGACUGAGGUACGGACCAGAAGCCUACGGGAGGCAGAAGUGGGGAAUAUUGCACAAUGGGCGGAAGCGUGAUGCAGCAACGUCGCGUGCGGGAUGACGGCCUUCGGGUUGUAAACAGCUUUCGAAUGUGACGAAGCGUGAGUGACGGUAAUGGGUAAAGAAGCACCGGCUAACUACGUG
rnacentral:rRNA from 1 species